rnacentral:rRNA from 1 species
CCAGACUCCUACGGGAGGCAGCAGUGAGGAAUAUUGGUCAAUGGGCGGGAGCCUGAACCAGCCAAGUCGCGUGAGGGAAGACGGUCCUACGGAUUGUAAACCUCUUUUGCCGGGGAGCAACGGGGUCCUUGCGAGGACCCGAUGAGAGUACCCGGAGAAAAAGCAUCGGCUAACUCCGUGCCAGCAGCCGCGGUAAUACGGAGGGUGCAAGCGUUGUCCGGAAUCAUUGGGCGUAAAGAGUUCGUAGGCGGUAUGUUAAGUCUGGUGUUAAAUGCAGAAGCUCAACUUCUGUUCGGCACUGGAUACUGGCAAACUAGAAUGCGGUAGAGGUAAAGGGAAUUCCUGGUGUAGCGGUGAAAUGCUUAGAUAUCAGGAGGAACAUCGGUGGCGUAAGCGCUUUACUGGGCCGUAAUUGACGCUGAGGAACGAAAGCCAGGGUAGCAAAUGGGAUUAGAUACCCGCGUAU